UGUGAAUUGAUAAACUCACUUCCAUGCAUAUCAUGUGGCUAAAAUGGAGCACAAGCUUUCUCUAUAUCCAAUCCACAGUUAACAUGCAAAAUUGGUAGUUCUCAACAUUUGUCAUUCAAAUUUCGCAGAAAUAUAAGAUGGAAGUCCACAGAUACUGUAACACUAAACAUAAAACAAAGGCAUUUUAUAAUGUUAAAAAUCAUACCAUUACUUUGAACCAUAAACCACAGAGAUGAAGCAUUUUUAUGUUUUCAGGCGACCGCAUCUUUCCUAGAGAAAAUGGGCUCUUAAAUAGAGAGCAGAGCUUUGCUUAAUAAAUUUCAGUUGUGUAAUGUUAAAAAUGCCAUUAAUCAAACCUCUAAUGAUUACAUUCUGUAGUGAAUAACUUGUACAAUUAUCUGCCAAAAAAAGGACAAGAAUUAUGGAACCAGAGCCUACAGAUCCGCUAAUUCAUUCUCCAAUCCAAUGAUAUAUACAGCAAAAUAACCAAUCAUCAUAGACAAUAGAACCCUUAAGCUUAAAUACAUUAAUCUCCUUUUCUUUUUCUCUUUCUUUUUCUUUUUUAAAUUUAUUUACGCUGCAAGAAUCAGUACUUUAAUUGUACCCUGGCUAUUUGCAGCUAGCAUCGUAGGGCUGUCACUCUUCCAGCAGACAGCACUAAUAAAGUAAGAUCCGGCAUCCUCAUCGGCAUCAUCCAUUUCAGGUGAACCAAAUCUGUGCCAUGUAACAGGUUUGGAGAUUUCCUUGUGGUAGACAAAAACAUCAUUUGUUUCGCUGCCACAUGCAAUGUAAUCAUAGUUUACUGAGAGGCCUACAAAAUUUUUUUCAUUUGUGUGGCCUCUGAAGGUACGAACUGGCACAUUAUCCUUUACAUCCCAUAAUCGUAAUGUACUGUCUGUAGAUGCUGAAGCAAGCUCAUUGUUAGACAAGAAUUUCACAUAUGAAACAGCUUUACGAUGUCCACUGAACACAUGGAGCGGAUGGCUGAUAUUUCUCAAGUCAUAGUAGUGAAUGUGGUGGUCUGCUGAACCAACCGCAAUGUAAUUGCUAAAUCCAGGAUUAUACUUGACGCAGCAAAUAUUCGCUUUCAUGUCAAUGUUGAUAACACUGGCUUCCUGAUUUGUGCACCAAACUUUGACCUUACAAUCAUCACUACCAGACACAAGCAUUGAGGGUUCGGUACGAGAAAAGUCAACACUCCAUGCACGUUUUUCAUGCUCUUCAUAUUCCAUCACACUCUGCCUAGUUGUCACAUCCCAAACAGUUACUAUACCCUCAUAAUCACUACUAGCUAUCUGAUUCUUAGCAUACUUGUUCCAACUCAAGCAGCUAAGCUUAGAACGUGUUGACAUCUCAACAACAGGGCAAUGAACAUCAGCAGGGUCAUUCAGAACCGUGGAGAAGUCAAAAACUUUGAUUCGCCUUGAAACUCCAGCAGUAGCAAACAGUUCAUCGUCACGGUCAAAUUCUAUGCUUGACACUAUAUUGGCAGAGUGAAAUAUAUCCCCAUGCCUGAGUUCAGCAAUGACCCUUAAACGACUAUAUUGAGUGAAGGUACUCAGCACAGAUUGAAAAUCUACAAGACCUGAGCUGUAGCCCUCUCUAUGAAUGAUAUUUUUAUCACUUUCUUGCUGUUUAUGUGGUUGGGUUGUCAACAGUCGACGCUUUUGCAGAUAACAUUCUUGUAGGUCAUUGAACUGUGCAUGGACCCGCUUUUUCCUCACCACAGAUAGCCCUGACUGAUUAUGCUGUGAGUCAGACCCACUUAAAGUAUCCUUUCUCUGGAGCCCAUGAGAGCUUACUUGAGACUUGCCAUCCAUUUUCUUAGUUGGAAGAUUCCCUGCAGUCACCCCUCCUCUCGCACUAAAAGAACUGCUGAUGGCACCCCCACUAUUCUUAUCUAAUGUUGAAGGCCAUGGUUUUCUUACAUUGGGAUCAUCUCCAAGCAUCCACAAUUUCAUAGAAUACCUGUCUCUAACACGGUAUAACUCAAUUCUAUGUCUCUCAACAGCGUCUAUGUCCUCCUUAAUAUAUUGGAGAUCAGUCCGUACCUCAUUCAAUUCAUCAACUUUUUGCUUCCGUAAGUAGAGUAAGAAGUCUAGCAAUAUUUGCAUAUUUCUCUCAGCUUCUUCUUGCUCCAUUUUUCUUUUCUUCUCAGCAAGCAGUGACAUAAGGUUGUCCACAUCCUUAAUUGAAAUUUCACAACCCUGUUGCAGUGCCUGGAGAAAACGCUCAACCGGUGAUGCAUUUUUUGAUGUUUGACGGGCAGAAACCUUCUUCAAUAGCUUGUCGAGCAAGAAAUUAGGGAAGAGCUGGUUGCUAGUGAGGUAAUGGCCGCAGCAAGGGCAAUCGCUCUUGUUGCGGAGGUGAGUAAUUAUACACAUAUAGCAAAAGCUGUGGCCACAAGCUGUGAGAAACGCGUCUUUUAUAAUUUGCAUGCAAAUCGGGCAUAGGAAAUCCUUCUCCAGCUCUGAUGACCCCGUGUCCUUCGGUCCCGCCUGCUCGGUGUGCGCCCCUGAGGCCGCUGCUGCAGCGGCGAAGGAAGCAGAUGAUCUAGGCUCUGACUUCACAGCCGGAACUAUGGCCCCCGUUGAGACCUCUUCCAUAGGUGUAAUUUUUUCACUCUGCUUCGUAUUCUGCUCGGUUUGGGUUUGUGUUUGGUCUGCAAAACAGCAUUUAGUGAUUCGUUUUUGCAGAAUGAUACGAGGAGAGAGGGAAG
rnacentral:misc_RNA from 1 species